UUUUUUAAAGUAUCAAAGAUUAGUUUCAUAGAUUCACUGAAUAUCAGAACUGGAAGGAUCCUUAGAAAUCAUAACCCCCCACUUUUUUCAUUUACAGAUGAAAAAACUAAGAACUAAGAGAGAGGUGGAGAACUAAGAGAAGAAAAGCCAUUCACACGAAAUUACACACCACGAACAAACGUUCUGUUCAACAGAUGCUUAAUAGAGAAAACCAACUUUUUGGAUAAACUGCUAAAGUUUAAGGACUGUAUUGGGGGUAAAAGCCCAGUAGCUGCAGUUCUACAAAACAAUUGAAUUUGAACAGAAGAAAACAGAUGGACCCCACCUUGAGGAGACAGGAAGAUGCCCUCCCUCUGCGAGCCCUUCCCGCUCCUCCAGAAAGUGGCAACCUUCCUUUAGCUGCUGGAGAACCCUCCACUUUGUACCUGAAACUAUGCAUCUGCCUCUCCUGCUAUGCUAUGAAUUCCUCAGUAGGAAGGACUGAGCUUUAUUCAUCCUCCUUGAAGUCCCCAGCCCCGCAGCUGGCUCAAGGUAAGCAGUCACACUUAGUUGAACACGUGGGCGGAUGGAGGAAUAUGAGAGUGCUAUGAGAUUCCAGCUGCUGACAUGGUUGCAUCCUGGUGUUCUUUUUCUGGGCCAAAGGGUUGUUUGUUUCCACCUCUUUAUCCCUUUUACAGUCUCUGCCUCAGCUGCUGAAAGCACGCAAUGGAACAGUGUGCCUUUCAGCAAAUAAGAGUGAGCAAUGGAAAAUGCAAAGCAUCAACCCUUAAUGCAAGCAAUGGCAUGCUGAAUGCAAUUCCAAACGAAGGGAAACUGCUUAUUUUCACUGAAAUGAAGUACUCUGGGAAGUACUUCCCUCCAGUUCUGGGAGUCCGCGGUGAUAAAGCUAGUUCAUCAAGGCUUAGCACGCCCCCUGUUGGAUUUAGCUGGCAUUUAGUAAGAAGAGGACAGGAGAGAAACUUGUUGAUACAGAUCAUUUCUUGGACAUAGGUAUGUAAGGGUAGGGCCCUUUCUGCAAAAUUCUCUGUUAACAAGGCAUGAAAUGAGUCAUGUAUUUACUAGACUAUCCCUGGAACAUAAUUUGACUAAUCUCAAAAAGGUCACUCCUUUUUGAAGAGUAGAAAUAUUUUCCUGAUGGGAAGUCAAAAUGGCAUGGACUUAAUUCCUUUUAGCAAGCAUGCAACCACAAAAAUCAAGUCAACCACUAAAAUUCCUCUUCAGACCCCCGCCCCCAAGUAAGGUUUAAAUUGUAAUCUCUAAAUGUCCAUUGACAGAGAACUUGUUGAGUAAGUAUAGUACGUCCAUACUUUGGAAUACUGACAUGAAACAAUCUCCAAGAUAUAUUAGUGACUGAAAAAAAAAAAGAAAAAUGCUGAGCAAUAUGUAAAUUUGAUCAUAUAUGCAGAGACUUUCUAUAGAAGAUUCCACCAGAAAAUAGUAACAAUUGUCUCCUGGGAAAGAAAUUAAUUACUGCAGUGAUAGAAAGAAAACCUCUUUUCACUAUAUUUUUGGUUGCUACUCACAAUUUGUAUCUUGGAUGCUACCUAUGGAAAUAAUCUAACCAAUUAAAAAAUGUAAGAACCUUAUGAAGGUCCAGUAAAAUUC